ACCAAGGAGUAUAACAUGUGCGCGAGUCGCCGGGACUUGAACAGGCCCGGAGGCGAAGCGAAAGCGAAGCUCACCGAGAAAGCCGUGAUCCCCGUGGGUGGAACCCGGGGCGCAGCGGCGGCCCGUCCCGCUCGCCGAGGCGUGCGGGCGGAGUCUGAGCGCACACGUUGUUGCCCGAAAGAUGGUGAACUAUGCACGGCCAGGACGAAGACAGAGGAAACUCUGUUGGAGGUCCGAAGCGGUUCUGACGUGCAAAUCGAUCGUCAGAGCCGUGUAUAGGGGUGAAAGGCCAAUCGAACCAUCUAGUAGCUGGUUCCCUCCGAAGUUUCCCUCAGGAUAGCUGGCACUCGGGGAAACGCAGUCUCAUGCCGUAAAGCGAAUGAUUAGAGGCAUUGGGACCGAAACGAUCUCAACCUAUUCUCAAACUUUGAAUGCGUGAGUCGUCCGCCUUGCCGUCUCCUAUCCGGAAGGCCGGACUCACGAUGCGAGUGCCCAGUGGGCCACUUUUGGUAAGCAGAACUGGCGCUGUGGGAUGAACCAAACGCCGGGUUACGGUGUCCGAUGCGUUCAGACGCUCAUCAGACCCCAUAAAAGGUGUUGGUUGCUCCAGACAGCCGGACGGUGGCCACGGAGGUCGGAACCCGCUAAGAAGUGUGUAACAACUUACCGGCCGAAGCAACUAGCCCUGAAAAUGGAUGUCGCUCAAGCGUCGAACCCAUACCCGGCCGCUGACCCAGAACCCGGCCUAAAAGAUCCACGGGAAUAUUACGGGUCAGCGAGUAGGAGGGUCGCCCCGGGGUGCGUGGAAGGGUAGGGCGCGAGCCCGCCUGGAGCCCCCGGGGGUGCAGAUCUUGGUGGUAGUAGCAAAUACUCGAGCAAGAGCCUUGAGGACUGAAGACGGAGAAGGUUUCCAUGUGAACAGCAGUUGAACAUGGGUCAGUCGGUCCUGAGGGAUCGGCGAAAGCCGUUCGUAAGCGGGGACGUUACCGAGGUGAGUCCCGCGCAGACCGAAUGGUGAUGGGGUUAAUAUUCCCCAACCCGCACGCGGAGAUCGGGACUUCGGUCCCAAGAGCGGUAACGCAACCGAACUCGGAGACGCCGGCGGAGGACCCGGGGAAGAGUUAUCUUUUCUUUGUAAGGGUUCAUGUCCCUGGAACCGGCUCGUCCGGAGAUAGGGAUGUCGUUCCCGUAAAAGCACCGCGGCUCUCGCGGUGUCCGGUCCGCCUCUGUCGGCCCUUGAAAAUCCGAGGGAGUGAGUGUGAUUUUCGCGGCGGGCCGUACCUAUAUCCGCAGCAGGU
rnacentral:rRNA from 1 species